AGAAGGAGCAAGUCAGACAAAAGUGGUUCAAAAGAAGCAGAGAAGUAACCCAAGGGGGAGGAGAGCGCAUCUUCACAGGAACUGCUGUCAUAAAGCUCUUUUAUAUGAAUGGGUUGUAUGAGAAGUGCCAGGGCAUUGUUACCAAGGCUCACACUAAAUGUGUCCUGGCCACACAAACGAGUAUCAUACAACAUGGCAGCCAAGAGAACACCACUGUGGAAGCAGAUCUUUCAGACCCAGCGGGAACUCUCCAAACUAAAAGCUUCUCUCGAAUAUCGGCCAUCCGUCUGCUGUCCCAGCACCUGCCCAAGGAGGACGGGUUCCCCCAAAAGCCAGGGUCCUCCCAAGGUUUCUUUUAGCUUCUGGGAGUUUUUCCUUGCCACUGACGCCUAUGGCUUGCUUCUGGGGGCAUGAGGAGUGUUAAUUUCUAUUUUAUACAUAAUAAUAAAAAAAAAUAAUAAUUAAAAACA
rnacentral:lncRNA from 1 species